GCAAACAACGACAGUACAGGAAAACACGCUAGUCGACGAGCUCCCCCCUACUUUAAGCCCUCACUUAAGAAAUAUUAACAAACAUGAAUAUGAAUGCUGGAGUAAAGAAGACAAAAAUGUAUCACUUUCAUAUGGAAUGUGAGCUGGACUUUUUUUCCACGAUGUCAUUUUCGAAGUGAGUUUGCUUCAUCUGCCGGUGUAGUGAAAAUUGGAGCGGCAUUUUUGAAGUGUUUAUGGAAAAUACAACACUGAAAUUCCGCCAAAAAGCAAACUGCAAAUGAGAAAAGUGAACGAGCUAAAAUCCUAAUUGGCCGCACAGCAGUCACUUUUCACACAAAUAUAGUUCAACAGGGAAAGCCACCACCGAAGCAUCGUUCCAGGUUCGUCACAUCAUCAUUAAUGACAAGAAGUCCUUCCAAGACAGAGAGAUGGAGUACAAUUACACAGCGCUGUGAAGCCAUGGCUGAUGUGUGGAAGGACAUCGGAGAUUGUGUUUCUCACUGCAGUUGGAUGAAUCCACUGACGUGAAUGACACAGCCCAGGCAUUUGGGAAGGAGAUAAGCAAACCCUCAGACGAUUGCAGCGUCCUUCCACUUUGGGUUGUCAGCAGCAAAGUUGCACCACCGAAACCUUUCGGCACAUCUACACACGCACACAUGCAUUCCACUCAAAGGGGACAGUCUUUGUUUGAUCCACUGUGAGGUUUAUCUCCUAAACCCAAAUGUCAACACUUUGUGUUGACACACUAAGUUUCCUCCAACAAUCCAGUGUGGUCCGCAGUGGAAGCCCUGCGAGAGGAGCAAGUAAAAGUAGUUGACCCGGGGGCAGAAUGGAAAGUCCAAAUGAAUAUGGACAAAUAAUACGGAUCGCAGGAAUCGGCAAAAGCACACAAGCAGAGCGUUUUUCAUGCAAAAAGAAAGACGCAAGCAACGUGGCCAUGUUAGGGAGUCCAAAUCAUUUCAAAGCUCGGACAAGUCCAAAGUUUGAGUCUAUUUUUAAGGGGCACUGUCUGUCGUUGCUCUUCCUCUUGUUGUCACUUUUUCAAAAGUGCAUGCAUUUGUCAUUGUUAGAAGCAGCAUCCAAUAUU